rnacentral:lncRNA from 1 species
AGAAAAAGAAGUUGCUCCCCACCUACCUCCUCCCUCAUCACCACCUACAGCAGCAGGACUCCCCUCACCACACCUUAACUUGGUAUAUCCUGUAGCUCCAGAACCUAAUGUUAACUUGCUAGGCAUCCAGUUUCUCUGGGUGCAGUGUCUUCAUCAGGUGAAGUGACUGCUCGGGGAUGCCAGGAAAUCAGGCGAACACUUGAGUGCCAGGUAUGAGAGACCUAAGACACUGCCCUGCCCUGGAGGCACUGUCUACUGAGGAAAUCAAGAGACCAUAAUAAGGUGACAGCCAGGACAGUGCCUAUCCAUUUGGAGGAGCAGUUGCGGAAAACAUCACAGAGGAUGCCAUCUUUAGCAGGGCUUUGAAAUCCACCGAAGACCUCAGCUGCCAAGCUUCCCUGCUGUGGGCAGCUGGGAAGGCCUGUUCAAGCAGUCCUGACUGACUCUGAGCACGGUCAGUUUGAUGCCACCUUUCCCAUGACGCCAAGCUUAACAAUGCAUCUCCCUUCCUAUGCUGUGAACUGGCUCCUGGAGGACAGGGACACUCCUGUGCUUUCCAUGCUAGUGCCUUGGAAAAACAGGAUCAGAACAUACGUGGGCAAACACUAGAAGUCAUCUCUUCCUUCCUGACUCUCACAGCAGCAGCAGCUACUCCUUCCUGAUUCUGAAUUCUCCACCUGACCCAGCGUUUCCACUCCUGCCUCCCCCAGUUCUCACCAUGAGGCUGCAGGCUCUCAUUGGUAAAAGGCCGAUUGAUCACCUCCUUG